CGUUAUGGUUCUAUUUUGUUGGUUUCUAGGACCAUCGUAAUGAUUAAUAGGGACGGUCGGGGGCAUCAGUAUUCAGUUGUCAGAGGUGAAAUUCUUGGAUUAACUGAAGACUAACUACUGCGAAAGCAUUUGCCAAGGACGUUUUCAUUAAUCAAGAACGAAAGUUAGGGGAUCGAAGACGAUCAGAUACCGUCGUAGUCUUAACCAUAAACUAUGCCGACUAGGGAUCGGAGGGCGUUAUAAUAACCUCUCCGGCACCUUACGAGAAAUCAAAGUCUUUGGGUUCUGGGGGGAGUAUGGUUGCAAGGCUGAAACUUAAAGGAAUUGACGGAAGGGCACCACCAGGAGUGGAGCCUGCGGCUUAAUUUGGCUCAACACGGGGAAACUCACCAGGUCCAGACGUAAUAAGGAUUGACAAGCUAGAGACUUCUCUUGAUCUUACGGGUGGUGGUGCAUGGCCGUUUUUAGUCCUUGGAGUGAUUUGUCUGCUUAAUUGCGAUAACGAACGAGACCUUAACCUGCUAAAUAGCUGUAACAAUAGAUUAUUGUUUUGACAGCUUCUUAGAGGGACUAUCGAUUUUCAAGUCGAUGGAAGUUUGAGGCAAUAACAGGUCUGUGAUGCCCUUAGACGUUCUGGGCCGCACGCGCGCUACACUGACGGAGCCAGCGAGUCUAACCUGUGCCGAGAGGUAUGGGUAAUCUUGUGAAACUCCGUCGUGC
rnacentral:rRNA from 1 species